CUCUACCAUGGCAGCUCUGUAAAGGCCGCAACUAGUUCAAAAUCUCAAGAAGCAAAUUACUAGAUUAGAAGCAUGAAGAUAUUAUGUUUAUGUCUCCUGGCUAUUGUACUGAGCUUAAUGAUUUCAAUGACCGAUGCAAAGAGAAUAUUAAUGGAAGGAAACCACCAUGUGGUAAAGCCUAAGCUCAGGAUAGAGGAGUAUGCACAAGCGGCAUCUGAGGCUGAGAAACAUGCGAUCGAACGACAAUUGCUACAUAAUAAUGUUGUGGAGAAGACCAACAAAAAACAUGAAAACUCAGUGAUCGAUGACGUGAACUAUCAAGAAAAUGGUGAUGUAAACAAACAACCUGCUAACAGUGACGAAAACCGCAGCGCGGAGGGUAUCAGCAACGGCAAUACAGAAAGCAACGAAACUUACAAUCAAAACCGCAGUUCUACCAUUGAUAAUCACCACCAAAUUUCUAUCGAUGAUUUCCGGCGAAUACCACAUGAACCAGGGCCAACUCCCUAAAAGAAUGAAGCUAAUAGAGAGGGAGAAUGACCAGUAGAUAGUGUUUGUGUGAACUUAUAGCAUGGCUUAUAACUGUAUCAUAAUAUCUGUGUUUUUUACAUGAGUGAACAGGUACUGUAUGAGGUGCUUCAUGAACCCCUGGCAGUAGCAUGGUGUUAUGGGGUUUGUAUUGUGACUCGGCAUGGACUUUCAAUAAAGCUUGUCAUUUGUGUGUGGUGUGUGGGAUGUAA